rnacentral:rRNA from 1 species
UACGUAGGGCGCAAGCGUUGUCCGGAAUUAUUGGGCGUAAAGAGCUCGUAGGCGGCCUGUUACGUCUGCUGUGAAAUCCCGGGGCUUAACCCCGGGCGUGCAGUGGAUACGGGCAGGCUGGAGGCAGGCAGGGGAGAACGGAAUUCCCGGUGUAGCGGUGAAAUGCGCAGAUAUCGGGAGGAACACCGGUGGCGAAGGCGGUUCUCUGGGCAUUACCUGACGCUGAGGAGCGAAAGUGUGGGGAGCGAACAGG